rnacentral:rRNA from 1 species
UGGGGAAUAUUGCACAAUGGGCGCAAGCCUGAUGCAGCCAUGCCGCGUGUAUGAAGAAGGCCUUCGGGUUGUAAAGUACUUUCAGCGGGGAGGAAGGCGAUAAGGUUAAUAACCUUGUCGAUUGACGUUACCCGCAGAAGAAGCACCGGCUAACUCCGUGCCAGCAGCCGCGGUAAUACGGAGGGUGCAAGCGUUAAUCGGAAUUACUGGGCGUAAAGCGCACGCAGGCGGUCUGUCAAGUCGGAUGUGAAAUCCCCGGGCUCAACCUGGGAACUGCAUUCGAAACUGGCAGGCUAGAGUCUUGUAGAGGGGGGUAGAAUUCCAGGUGUAGCGGUGAAAUGCGUAGAGAUCUGGAGGAAUACCGGUGGCGAGGGCGGCCCCCUGGACAAAGACUGACGCUCAGGUGCGAAAGCGUGGGGAGCAAACA